rnacentral:tRNA from 1 species
CAGGGAGACAACAAAAUGUUUAAUAUUAUAAUUUUGUCACCUUAGGUCGAUCGGUAUCUCACGUUUUUAAUUUAUUAAGAAUUUCAUUUCCUAAGUUUUUCUAGGUCACACCCAUUACUUUUCCUGGGCCAUUAGCUCAGGUGGUUAGAGCGCACCCCUGAUAAGGGUGAGGUCCCUGGUUCAAGUCCAGGAUGGCCCAUAUCUCUAUGUUGGGGGUAUAGCUCAGUUGGUAGAGCGCCUGCUUUGCAAGCAGGAUGUCAGCGGUUCGAGUCCGCUUACCUCCACUGAUUCCGACCUCUUGCAUAAUCUGUAGAAAGGAAAUGUUUUGAGUUGUGAUCAAAUUCUGAACGAAUCUAGCCUCCUAAUGAAAUCAUUAAGAUGCUGGACUCAUUGAAUUAUAUUCAUUGUUUUCAGAGAACCUUGACAACUGCAUAGAUUAUUUUUAAAGACAAUAAGCAUCUUAAUAAUGAUGCAGAUUUAUUAUUUGUGCGAAUGCAUUAAUAACAAUUCUAUUAAGCUGAUGCUUCAAUUUUGAAGUUAUU